UCCCUGACUCCUUGAGAGUCCUGAAGGAACGUUGAAGACGACGACGUUGAUAGGCCGGGUGUGUAAGCGCAGCGAUGUGUUGAGCUAACCGGUACUAAUGAACCGUGAGGCUUAACCUU
rnacentral:rRNA from 1 species